rnacentral:rRNA from 1 species
GAUGAACGCUGGCGGCGUGCCUAAUACAUGCAAGUCGAGCGAACAGACGAGGAGCUUGCUCCUCUGACGUUAGCGGCGGACGGGUGAGUAACACGUGGAUAACCUACCUAUACGACUGGGAUACCUCCGGGAACCGGGCGCAAUAAGCGCAUAAUAUUUCCAUCCGCUGGGUCAAAUGGUGAAAGCCGCUUUUCAUGUCCCUUAUCGUUGGACCCGCGCCGCAUUAGCUAGUUGGUAAGGUAACGGCUUACCAAGGCGACGUUGCGUAGCCGACCUGAGAGGGUGAUCGGCCACACUGGAACUGAGACACGGUCCAGACUCCUACGGGAGGCAGCAGUAGGGAAUCUUCCGCAAUGGGCGAAAGCCUGACGGAGCAACGCCGCGUGAGUGAGGAAGGUCUUCGGAUCGUAAAACUCUGUUAUUAGGGAAGAACAAAUGUGUAAGUAACUAUGCACGUCUUGACGGUACCUAAUCAGAAAGCCACGGCUAACUACGUG